rnacentral:rRNA from 1 species
CAGCAGCCACGGUAAUACGUAGGGUGCGAGCGUUAAUCGGAAUUACUGGGCGUAAAGCGUGCGCAGGCGGUUCGUUAAGACAGAUGUGAAAUCCCCGGGCUUAACCUGGGAACUGCAUUUGUGACUGGCGAGCUAGAGUAUGGCAGAGGGGGGUAGAAUUCCACGUGUAGCAGUGAAAUGCGUAGAGAUGUGGAGGAAUACCGAUGGCGAAGGCAGCCCCCUGGGCCAAUACUGACGCUCAUGCACGAAAGCGUGGGGAGCAAACAGGAUUAGAUACCCCCGUAGUCCCUGUCUCUUAUAA